GGGGGCGACAGGCUUCGACGGGAGCUCUGACGCCCGAGGCUGCAUGCCGAGCGUAUCCCGCGUGCUCGUUAAUCUGGUGGGUAAUUCAAAACAACUGCCAACGAACCGGUAGCUCUGGCCGCUUAACCCCGGUCAGCGUUCGCCAGGCUCUCGCCUAUAGGGGCCAGGACGAACGUCGCUAUAUAGGCUGUGCUGCGCGUCACGCCUGACGGCGUCGUAGCGAGAUUUCAGUCAGACUAGCGGAAAGCUGAGCUGGCCCACCCGGCUUGCUGCCCGCGAAGCUAAAGCGGUGGGCUAAGCAUGUAGAGGCUUCGCGCCGAUAGUUUUCGGACGCGGGUUCGAUUCCCGCCGCCUCCACUG
rnacentral:tmRNA from 3 species